CCUACGGGUGGCAGCAGUAGGGAAUAUUGCUCAAUGGGGGAAACCCUGAAGCAGCAACGCCGCGUGGAGGAUGAAGGUUUUCGGAUUGUAAACUCCUUUUGUUAGAGAAGAAAAUGACGGUAUCUAACGAAUAAGCACCGGCUAAAUCCGUGCCAGCAGCCGCGGUAAGACGGAGGGUGCAAGCGUGACUCGGAAUCACUGGGCGUAACGAGCGCGUAGGCGGGAUUGCAAGUCAGAUGUGAAAUCCUAUGGCUUAACCAUAGAACUGCAUUUGAAACUGUUAUUCUAGAGUAUGGGAGAGGUAGGUGGAAUUCUUGGUGUAGGGGUCAAAUCCGUAGAGAUCAAGAGGAAUACUCAUUGCGAAGGCGACCUGCUAGAACAUAACUGACGCUGAUGCGCGAAAGCGUGGGGAGCAAACAGGAUUAGAUACCCCAGUAGUC
rnacentral:rRNA from 1 species